rnacentral:lncRNA from 1 species
UUUAUCACAAUUGAGAGAAAAGAGGCAAAGUGGGAGAAGAGAGACAAAGGAAGAAAGAAGAAUUUCAUGGGUGAAGAAGAUCUAGCUUGAAGAAACUCAAGUGGGAGAGUAGAUUGAAGCUUAUAGCUUAGCGUUUGGGAUUUAGAGGUAAGGAUGGAGAGAUUUUCUUCACAUAUUGAAUUAUAACAACUUAUAUGAUAUUUGGGUCAUGAUUGUCUUUGUGAAAUUAUGAAAUUGAUGUUGUUUUAAACUAACUUCCGUGCUUUAAUUAUGUUGCUAAUUUUGGCUAUAUGAAAGUGGUGUGUUGAUGAAUUGAGUUAUAUGAUUGUGUUAGUGAAGUUGUUAAUGUGAUGAAAUAGAUUAAGAAAUUCUGUUUUGGUUGUGAAUUUUUUGUGUGAGAUUGAUUUGGAGAAAAACGGGUUUUUAAGCUAAAUGUCGUUUUAAGUGAUUAAGUGAAAUAAACUAUUUUGUGAUACGUUGAGUUGAAAUGUUUUGAAUUAGAAAUGAGGUUAAAUGGUAGGGAAUAAGUAGUUUAAGAUUUUGGGACGAAAUUUGUGCAAUUGGGAUCGAAAACGGUUUUGAAAAUGGUGAUUUUCCGUGUGAAAAUGAAAAAUCAGAAUUAUGCUAACCUGAUGAGGUGGUACAACCGUGCACCCCAGUGGCACGGCUGUGUGUGCCUCUGCUGCCUAAAUCUUGACUUUUUCGAAAAAAAGUCAAGCACAGUCGUGCCUCUGAAGGGAACGGCCGUGCUUGAUCCUCUGGUUUUCAAAACCCCCUUUUUUUUUUUUAAAGUGUAUCCAAAGUGCAUAGUUGGUUCCGAAACCUUUAAACAUGAUUAGUAGGAGUUUAAUAGGAAUGUAUGAGCAUGAUUUACUUGGUAGUAUGAAAUAUGUGAAAAUAAACGAACUUAGGAAAGAUAGACGGACUUUGAUACCAUGAUGAAGCAUGCUAUGUUAACUUGUAAACGCCUAUGUGAUAAUGAUUUGGUGAUGAAUGAUGUUUAUUCUAAUUUGAUAUGCAAACCUGAAAUGUGGAUUAACUAGGCAUAAAUGAUUAAUCGUCUUUAAUGCUAAUUUUGUUAAAUGAAGUGAUGAUGAUUAAUGAUGAUGAUGAUGAUUUUUGAUGAUGAAUACAUGUAUGUGAACUGACGAUGUUAAUGAUGAUGAGGUCUUGUAUGAACGUAUGCAUUGAUGAAUCAUAUGUUCGUGCAUUCAUGAAUCUUGGUGUUAUGAUAUUUCGGUAUCCAGUGACGAGAUUUAGGAUAUUUCAGUAUCCAGUGCAUGAAUCAUAUGUUCAUGCGUUCAUAAAUCUUGAUGUUCAUGCAUUCAUUGCAUGCAAUUAGUCUUUGUGAAAUAUCUCAUACUUAGUUAUGUUAAUUAUGUGAAUGAUGUGAAUUAUGUGAAGUAUGUGCAUUAUGUGAACAUACGUGGAGAUGUGUACAUGUUUAUAUUUGUUCAUUGGUGAUAUUUGUACACUUGUGAUGAUUGUGAAUGAAUUGAGAAUGAUGUAAGAACAUAUUGGUGUUCAAAUUGAUUAUGAGAACUCUUACAUGUCUUAUGACGUUGAACUGUGGAUUGUGCAUUGAGUGAUAAUUGAAAUCCUAUAAUAUUAUGCUUGUGCUUAUAUACUCUUUAUGUUGAAUAUUAAUCUCACCUCCCUUUUUCGGGUUUUCGGCUAUGUCAUUCUAUUGGAUGGUGUAAACGUACAGGAUUGACAACGCUUGAGACGGCGUGAGUACAGAGGACUAGCUUGACGCUUCCUCAUUUUCUUAUUGUUUUUGGAUUAUAGUUCUAGGCUCUGAUUAGGACCUAGGUCGGGAGUUUAUUUUUAUAUUGUCUGUUGGAUUAUGUUAUGAAUCUGGAGUUUGUAUAUGAUGUAUUUUGAGAUUGAGAUAUGCUGAUGUGGCCUUGAGAUAUUUGAAACUUUGUUAUUAUUCGGUUGCAAAUUUUUUAUGAAAACCAAAUUAUACAUGAUUUUUGAGUUAUUGAAGGCGUAACACCUUGAACCUUGU